rnacentral:rRNA from 1 species
UGGAACGCGAGAACCUUACGGGGGGCCUUGUACACACCGAUGCUAUUCCUAGAGAUAGGAAGUUUCUUCGGAACAUCGGUGACAGGUGGUGCAUGGUUGUCGUCAGCUCGUGUCGUGAGAUGUUGGGUUAAGUCCCGCAACGAGCGCAACCCCUAUGUUGUGUUGCUACCAUUUAGUUGAGCACUCACAACAGACUGCCGGUGACAAACCGGAGGAAGGCGGGGAUGACGUCAAAUCAUCAUGCCCCUUAUGUCUCGGGCUACACACGUGCUACAAUGGGCGGUACAAAGAGAUGCGAGGCCGUGAGGCGGAGCUAAUCUCAUAAAGCCGUUCGUAGUUCGGAUUGCAGGCUGCAACUCGCCUGCAUGAAGCCGGAAUUGCUAGUAAUCGCGGAUCAGCAUGCCACAGUGAAUACGUUCCCGGGUCUUGUACACACC